rnacentral:rRNA from 1 species
GAGUCAAUGAGAUAAUAGUUGUUUCGGUAUUAAAAAUUGAAUUUAAAUUUUGAGUUAAAAUGCUUAAAUUUUUUUAUUAGACGAAAAGACCCUAUAGAAUUUUAUAAAUUUUAAAUAAAUUAAUUAAAAUGAAAAAUUAUAUUAAUUUAUUUAAUUAUAUUUGAUUGGGAGGAUUAUUAAAUUAAAUUAACUUUAAUUAUUUAUAAGAACAUAGAUUAAUGAAUUUUUGAUUAUUGUUAUAAUUAAAAGAAAGAAUUACCUUAGGGAUAACAGCGUAAUAUUUUUUGAAAGAUCAAAUUGAGAAAGAUGUUUGCGACCUCGAUGUUGAAUUAUGAUAUAAUUUGAAUGCAGAUGUUUAAGUUUGUUAGUCUGUUCGACUAUUAAAAUCAUACGUGAUCUGAGUUCAGAC